GUUUGUGUGCACUGUUGAGACAGCUUGAAUUGUUGUGUUUGGAAAUUAUUUUGAGUGUUUUUUUACAUUAUCGGUGGGUUGCAGUCUUUCCGAUGUAGUUCCGCCAGAAAAUUGAAUUUUUUUUGUUUCUUUUUUAAUGUUAACCUGUGAAGUAAACAUUUCGUUUGUAUAUGCGGCGCAGCCUUGUGGUUUCAUUAAGACCGAUGAUGGAAUACUCCAAUUUGCGUGCCGGCGUCUAACAUAAAACUUGUUUUUAAUCAAUGAGAUGAAUAUUAAGAACUCUUGCAACUAAUUCUAUCCCAUCCAGUUUUAACUUAACUAAUGAUAUACAAUGAGAGAGAUAAUACAUUUUCAAGUAUAUGAAGACUUAAAACCAUGUUUUAGGAGCGGCAAGGUACGGUAUUGGCGAGAUCAGAGAACCUAUGACAUCAGAUAAAAAUCUGUUUUCGCAAGAAUGUGAGUCGAAAAGUGAAAAGAUAAGAGGAAAUGCUAAAUUUGGAAUUGCCGAUUGCCGAUACAAGUGAAUCAAAAUUUGAAGAUUCCUAAAAUUUUAUAUAAAAAUGGACUGAAUGACAGUUCCUCUGUGCUUUUCUAUCACUACCAGAGACAACACAUGAUAUGUUAAUUUUCACACGUAUCUGACGCAGUAAAAGAUAUUGAUUAUUGUGGAGUAUGAAGACGAAUGGAAUAUUUUCGAAUAAAUCAAAUUUAUUUUUGAGAAGUAUUACAAGCAUGGUAUUUUUAAGUAUAUUUAACUGAGUUGCAUCAAUGGCUUUGCGGUAAUAAAAUGCAUGGGAAUAAUAAAUUACUUAAAAUAUUUGAAGGUUUUCUGAAAGGAGCAGAAAUAUGAAUCAGAUAUAGCCAUAAUAGACAUUUUACGGCUGCAACUCCGACUUCAGUUUUUUAAACACGUUCCAAAAGGCUUGGUAAUAAAAAAGCCGCAUCACAACUUCAAAACCACAUCUGUGGUUUAGUUUAACAUUAGGAGAUUUGGAAGCACUAUUACUAACUAAUACAGAAUAUCAGAACUUGGAGUUCAGAUCUAGACUUUAAUAAAAAAUUCAUCAAAAAUAGUCAUAAUGGAUACAGUAUAAUGGAUGUACGGUCGAAUAAGAUAUGGAAGGAUUGGGAUUAAAUCACUAUGAAAUUCAUAUUAAGAUACUACAAAUAUCAGUUUGAUGAAAUGCUUUGAAUUAAUAUAUAAAUUUGUUGGUAAUAAAUGAUUGAUUCUGCUGAUGAUGAUGAUUAAUUAGAAACAGAGUCAAUAAGAAGUUCUUAUUAUUAACACAAUUCUGUGAGUUUUAAAAGCAGUAUUUGACUUCAGAUGGAGUUGACUUCGAGUAUACAAUAUAUAAGACGUCAUACUAUACCGUAAACAACGUGGAAAAAACUGUACCUGCUGGAAUUGGCAAGACGAUUAAAAAUAAAAAACUACGAUUAAUAUCAGAUAAUAGACUGCAUCAAACAAAGUCUUUUGUAUAGGCUUCGAAACGUCUUUAUGUAUUUAAGUUAAAUUGAAGUGGAUGUGCACUACACACACACAAUAUAACUUAAGUAAGGAAUUUUGCAAUCCAAUUGUAUACACUCUUAUGACUAGAAAAGUCCCUUUUGAAGUUUAAAUGUGGUGUCAGAUUAUAUCCGAUUUAAAUAUGUUAGCACUCUUACUCAAGUUACUAUAAUUAAAACGGUUCAUAUACCAAAAACGAUAAAUGAGUAUAUGUUUUUUAGACAUAAAUAUAAAUGCAUUAUUUUUGCAUAUCUAAUUUAACCUAUUUAUUUGCACCAUAGAAUCAUUAUAAUUGAAAGUAAAUAUGCGAUAACUUCAUUGGCCGCUUGUAGGCCAAUGCUAGAGGUGGUUCCUAAUUCAUGACAUAUUGAACCAAAAUAAAUUUACUUAAAAAUUUAAAGUUUUUUU